rnacentral:rRNA from 1 species
CGGUACGUACUGGCAUCGUUGGUUUCUCCCUUCUGACGAACCAUGAUGUCAUUUAUUUGGUGUUGUGGGGAAUCAGGACUGUUACUUUGAAAAAAUUAGAGUGUUUAAAGCAGGCUCACGCUUGAAUACAUUAGCAUGGAGUAAUGAAAUAGGACGUUUGAUUCUAUUUUGUUGGUUUCUAGGAUCGACGUAAUGAUUAAUAGGGAUAGUUGGGGGCAUUAGUAUUCAAUUGUCAGAGGUGAAAUUCUUGGAUUUAUUGAAGACUAACUACUGCGAAAGCAUUUGCCAAGGAUGUUUUCAUUAAUCAAGAACGAAAGUUAGGGGAUCGAAGACGGUCAGAUACCGUCGUAGUCUUAACCAUAAACUAUGCCGACUAGGGAUCGGAUGAUGUUAAUUUUUUAAUGACUCAUUCGGCGCCUUACG